CAGCAGCAAAAGCAGAAGCGAUAUCAAGAAAUUAUGCUGUGAAAAGAGAAGAUGAUCCAUUGCAGGCUCAUGUGAGGCUUAUAGGUGAGAGAAGUGUGCUUGAAAUUUGGAAAUUUGGCUUCUCACCCCCUACAAGGAGAAAAUUCUGGUCCUCAUAGGAGAAUACAGGGAUGCACAAACAUCUAUGUCCUGAACUGAGUACAGCUUGGAUCUCUACCACCUCCAUAAUGAAAUCCAGAGCUCCCACAGGCCUCUGAAGACAAAAGUACCAAGGCAGAGGAAGAAUAAGCAG